rnacentral:rRNA from 1 species
UACGUAGGGUGCAAGCGUUAAUCGGAAUUACUGGGCGUAAAGCGUGCGCAGGCGGUUGUGCAAGACAGAUGUGAAAUCCCCGGGCUUAACCUGGGAAUGGCAUUUGUGACUGCACGGCUAGAGUGUGUCAGAGGGGGGUAGAAUUCCACGUGUAGCAGUGAAAUGCGUAGAUAUGUGGAGGAAUACCGAUGGCGAAGGCAGCCCCCCUGGGAUAACACUGACGCUCAUGCACGAAAGCGUGGGGAGCAAACAGG